rnacentral:lncRNA from 1 species
AAUUGUACUUACAAACUUGCAUGACCCCUUGGGCCAGCAUAAACAAAUACUGUUUCAUCUCAUCAAAAUAAAUAUUUAAAAACUUGCAGCGGAAAGGCAGAGCUAAUGGGUCACAACUACUCCUAGAGGAGAGAGCAUGUUGGAAUGUAAGCACAUGACCCAAAAAACAUCGACGAACCUCACUCUUCGUCAGAUUCACCUGCAUCAUUGAUUGCAGCCACUACGUGGUCAAUACAUUGAAUGUAUUGACAAGUUCACCUGGAAGUUAUAACAAAUCCUACCAAGUAUAUGCAAUUGAGGUAUACUGCGGUUCUGGCUUUACGGCGUGGUAGCAAAACAUAGUUUAUCUUAAUACAAUUGAAUGUUACAUUAUUGUUAACUAAUGGACACCGGGUAGAAACACCGAUGCUCCUAUUAAUCUAUGGACAUGGAGUAGACACAUCAAUACUCCUAACCCAAGUUCAAACCAUUCAUUUUAUUUAGAAAUUGGAAUGAGUGAGACCUUCCUUACAGCCCCCAAAUCUAGUUGCUCGUAAUUUUCCGUAACCGGGGACACGGCUAAGUACUUAGUUUGACACUCUCGAGAGGUGGUACACUUUACCCACAAGAAAUCGACGUGUUAAUCCCUUGCCGUCCUCAGGGUAGAGUAGCAACGGCAUCGAUUACAGGAAUUUUCAGAACAUAAUCCCCCAGACCACCUGAGGGACGCGUUCCCACCUACACGGCUACAUACCGAUGUCAUCUUCGGAUCCGGAUUCAUAUUUCUUACAUCCAUCCUGUCAGAGCCCAUUUAGCAUGUAGUUGUACUGGAAGCUACUAAACAGGAAAACUAGUCCAGUUUCUAGUUACCCCGGGUGGCAUUCCACAUUUGCGACGCAAGCGCUCCCCGAAUCCAUGGGGAGACGUCCAUGGACGAUCCACCACCGAAUCCACAGGGACUCGACUCGGAGGGACCCAUAGAAAUGGACCUGACGUCGUAUAACAUCUCAAAUCCUCAAAGCCGUCCACCCAGGAUGGUUCAUUAGGGUUGUUUUGCCAAGUUUCCAAAAUUACUCCACAAUAUCAUUUUCACAGUGAUUCAGAUUCCCUCCCACGUAUACUAACAUAGCAUGGCUAAGCAAUAUCUAAUCACGAUGGCUAUUGGUGGAGGAAUCAUGGCAAAGGUAACCCUAUCGCCAGUAGGUCAAAUCAUAGCUAGCAUAAGUACGAGUAAUAAUCCUAUCAAUGCAUUCUACAAGCAACACUAAUGCAUAAGUAUUUUAAAAACAAUAAUAAUAGGAUAAUGAUCAAACUGAACUUACCUUGGUAACAGUUGGAGUUC